AUUGAACGCUGGCGGCAGGACUAACACAUGCAAGUCGAACGGAGUGGCGGACGGGUGAGUAAUGUCUGGGAAACUGCCUGAUGGAGGGGGAUAACUACUGGAAACGGUAGCUAAUACCGCAUACUAUCAGAUGAGCCUAGGUCGGAUUAGCUAGUUGGUGGGGUAAAGGCCUACCAAGUCGACGAUCCGUAACUGGUCUGAGAGGAUGAUCAGUAACACUGGAACUGAGACACGGGCCAGAGUCCUACGGGAGGCAGCAGUGGGGAAGAUUGGAAAAUGGGCGAAAGCCUGAUCCAGCCAUGCCGCGUGUGUGAAGAAGGUCUUCGGAUUGUAAAGCACUUUAAGUUGGGAGGCGUUACCAACAGAAUAAGCACCGGCUAACUUCGUGCCAGCAGCCGCGGUAAUAC
rnacentral:rRNA from 1 species